rfam:Dipodomys ordii contig_38453, whole genome shotgun sequence.
GGGAUGUUGGCUUAGUGGUAGAGUGCUUGCCUUGCAUGCAUGAGGCCUUGGGUUUGAUACCUCAGUAACUCA